GGCCAAAAUAUGAAGAAGAGUAGAUUAGAAGGAUCACCGACCCUACUAAACUACUCUACUUCGAGUUUGUGCCC
rnacentral:pre_miRNA from 1 species